rnacentral:rRNA from 1 species
GAUGAACGCUGGCGGCGUGCCUAAUACAUGCAAGUCGAGCGAACAGACGAGGAGCUUGCUCCUCUGACGUUAGCGGCGGACGGGUGAGUAACACGUGGAUAACCUACCUAUAAGACUGGGAUAACUUCGGGAAACCGGAGCUAAUACCGGAUCAUAUAUUGAACGGCAGGGUUCAAUAGUGAAAGACGGUUUUGCUGUCACUUAUAGAUGGAUCCGCGCUGCAUUAGCUAGUUGGUAAGGUGACGGCUUACCAAGGCAACGAUGCGUAGCCGAGCUGAGAGGGUGAUCGGCCACACUGGAACUGAGACACGGUCCAGACUCCUACGGGAGGCAGCAGUAGGGAAUCUUCCGCAAUGGGCGAAAGCUUGACGGAGCAACGCCGCGUGAGUGAUGAAGGUCUUCGGAUCGUAAAACUCUGUUAUUAGGGAAGAACAAAUGUGUAAGUAACUAUGCACGUCUUGACGGUACCUAAACAGAAAGCACCGGCUAACUACGUG